rnacentral:snoRNA from 1 species
CGCAGCCCCGUCAAAUUCGGCGCCCGCCCCCACCGUGGCCGGCGCCGGCCCGAACGGCUGCCACAGCGACGCCGCGGCCCAUGGGCCCCGCGUCCCUCUCCUGGGGCCCGGGGAUAAAUGUCGCCGCCGACAUCG